AACAAGUUCCAUUCCAUCACGUACUUCGGGUUUGCUGGACUGGCGCUCGGCAUAUUUCUGAAAUGUGGGUUUAAAGGGAACUGAAAGUUUUAGAGCUGAGGAGAUAGAAACCUGGAGACAUUUAAGGACUUGGGCAAUGCUGGCAACAUAGUAGAAGAAGACUCAAAUGCAUACCUUAAAGAAAUCAAAGAAACCCAUCAACUUGGCUUUUCCAAGCUCCUUUUCUUUCUCUUGGA